rnacentral:misc_RNA from 1 species
AAAAUAAAUCGUAUAUCUUUGAUGUUACGGAUCUGGGUUAUCCGAUUCUUAAAGUCGGUUACCUAAAAUUAAAUUUUAUGUAGUGUGUUAAGCGUACUAAUUAAGUUCGUUAACUACUUACUACACAUUUAUUACGCUAUCUUUAAAUUAUUUAAGUGAUAGUGUAUAAAAUUGA